UGCCCCUUCGCCAAGCGGAAAGGCAUCGGAUUUUGGUUCCGACACGCGUAGGUUCGAAUCCUACAGGGGCAGCCA
rnacentral:tRNA from 1 species